UACGAAGGGUGCAAGCGUUACUCGGAAUUACUGGGCGUAAAGCGUGCGUAGGUGGUGAGUUAAGUCUGUCGUGAAAGCCCCGGGCUCAACCUGGGAAUGCCAUUCGAGACUGCAUAGCUAGGGUGCGGAAGAGGGAAGCGGAAUUUCCGGUGUAGCGGUGAAAUGCGUAGAUAUCGGAAGGAACACCAGUGGCGAAAGCGGCUUCCUGGUCCAGCACCGACGUUCAGGCACGAAAGCGUGGGGAGCAAACAGG
rnacentral:rRNA from 1 species